AACAAGAAUAUGUGCACAAAGGGUGAAUAAUGAUCUACAAACAAAAACAAGAAAUGAAAUUGAAUAUCUAUUUUAGAGAAAGAGGAGGCAGAAAUCUCAAGCACAAAGACAGACAUUACUUCACAGCAGCUAACAUGUCUAACAUGAUAUACGAAAGAGAGCAAAAUUCCCUAAAUUCAAGAGAAAUGCACUUUACCUAAUGUACAUUAGUUAGAUUUUAGAAUGUCCAAACUUAACUAUUUAUUCAAUUCAAGUACUAGUCAAUGUCUAUAAAUCCAAAUUUCCGGAGAAAAAUUUACAUGUGUUUGGAUGCUCCCAAACUCUAACAUAUACACUUCCUAAAUACUUUCGACAUUCCCUACCAUGAAAUUUUCCGAUGACGAGUUAAAAGUGGUGCAAACAUUGCAAUUGACCGAAAAAUUAAAGCAAACACAAAACGAAAUGUGAAACAGAAAACAUACAGUCUUCGUAGAAAUGUACUCGAGGAGGAGGGAUGGCUCGAGGCUGGAGCAGCAGGAGGAGGAGGGAGGGCUCGAGGAGGAGGACAGUGAAGAGGAGGAGGGAUCAGGGCGGGAGCAGGAGGAGGAGGAGGGAGGGCUCGAGGAGGCGGAGGAGGCUAGGGUUUUUUCUCGCGCUGUGGAGGCUGUCGAGCGCCUGGUCUUCGUCUGUAUACCGUAGCCAGCGCAUAUUCCAGAAAACUCAUAACUCCUUUACCAUAUCUUUUGUCCCAUUUUGGAAGCAAAAUCUAACUCUUAUCCAUAUUCUGAAAAGAUAACAAAAUAUAUAUGUAUAACUAUAGCUAAUUAUUAAUUAAAUUCCAUAUAUAAAAUCGAAAUUCAUUUAGUAUUCUACGUACUACAACUAAUUAAUAACAAAUUAAUUAACACAUAUAUAUACUUAAUAAUUACAUAACAAUAUUAUAUAUCAACAUCAUCACAAAAUCAUCAUCAACUCAUAUCAUCAACAACUUUAUACCAUCAACACAAUAUUAUAAAUUAAUUAACAUAUAUAUAUAUAUAUAUAUAUAUAUAUCUACUACUUAUUAACAACAAC
rnacentral:lncRNA from 1 species